rnacentral:rRNA from 1 species
AUUGAACGCUGGCGGCAUGCCUUACACAUGCAAGUCGAACGGCAGCACGGGUGCUUGCCCCUGGUGGCGAGUGGCGCACGCGUGAGUAAUACAUCGGAACAUGUCCUGUAGUGGGGGAUAGUACGGCGAAAGCCGGAUUACUACCGCAUACGAAUUACGGAAGACAGAGGGGGACCUUCGGGCCUCGCGCUUUGGGGUUGGCCGAUGGCUGAUUAGCUAGUUGGUGGGGUAAAGGCCUACCAAGGCGACGAUCAGUAGCUGGUCUGAGAGGACGACCAGCCACACUGGGACUGAGACACGGCCCAGACUCCUACGGGAGGCAGCAGUGGGGAAUUUUGGACAAUGGGCGAAAGCCUGAUCCAGCAAUGCCGCGUGUGUGAAGAAGGCCUUCGGGUUGUAAAGCACUUUUGUCCGGAAAGAAAACCUUGGCCCUAAUACGGUCGGGGGAUGACGGUACCGGAAGAAUAAGCACCGGCUAACUACGUG